rnacentral:lncRNA from 1 species
AUGUACCCAUAAAAGAAUUUAACAACAACAACAAAACUUUUCAUCAAAGUUUUAAAAUUAUUUUCUGUAUUGUUUUUCAUUUUGUUUUGCUUUUUAUUUUGUUUUUAAAGAUACUUUGGAGAGGGGAGCCAGUGACCUCACAGGGGAGCACUAUGGAGUCUCCAGGGAUGGGUCCUGACUUGGUGACCUCAGGAAUUAAGAGAUGUGUGAAAGACAAAAGAGUUUCAAAGACUACACUGAAUGUUUCUCUUGCUUCAAAAAUCAAAACAAAAAUAAUAAACAGAAGCAAGUAUUUCCUUUCAGUAUUUCAAAGCUGGACUACUUGAGUCAAGGCAAAUACUAAGUGCACUGAAGACCAACAGGAAAGAUACAUGUGCCUCAAGAGAAAUACAAGCCUCUGAAAGCUGAGUUGGAGGAAAUAAAGACAAAUACUUAAACAGAGACAUUAAUAUUAAAUCUAUUGUGAGAUUGUUAUGAGAUUUAGGAAAAAUGUGCAUACAGUAUGAGAUACUUAAUAAAUGACUAUCAUGUAUUAUUCCUCAUGUUGCCUUUGAAAGAGUAAAGUAUUGUCACAACCAAAGUAGUCAUUAAGUACAACAUGAUACUAGUAAAGAGAAUAAGAGAAAUGGCCUACAGUCUUUGAAGGUUACCAUUUUUUUUUAAUAUUAUCAAAGUAACUUUGGAGAAUGGUAAAUUUUCAGAUUAAAGAAUUUCAACAUUUUAAAUUUAACUUACAAGAUUUUCAAUGUGCUCUAAUUGUCAUAAGUUUAAUAAUAAUUCACAGGAUCUUACUAUGUAGUUCAGGCUGAUCUUUCAUCACUAUGUGAGCCAGGCUGGCCUCAAAGUCCUGGCUCAGCCUUUGAAUUGCUGGGAUUACAGGUGUGCACCAACACACCUGGCUUGAUUUUUCAAAUCACUUGUAUCUUAUUUCAAAUAGCCACACAGAUCUACGUGUGUUUUAUUUUCCAGAUUGAAUAGUUAUUGUAGUUGUUAGUAGCAAUGACUGAUCAACAUGUUACACACAUUUGAAUAAAUAGUAAACAAUAAAAUGGUUGUUUUUUCUAAAUGAGAAAAAUGUUUUUUUUUAUGGAAGUAGUAUAAUUUGCUCAUGUACCAAAAAUAAAAAUUACUGCUAGAAUGAGGCAGAGUUCAACUGUGAUUGUAUUCUUUUUUACUUUUCAGGGCGGAGCAAUAAACCCAGGGCCUGGAACAUGCUAGUCUAACAUUAUACAACUAAGCUACUUCCUUGCCUCAAUUUUAUUGUUAUUUUAAAUUUUUUUAGUAGAAAAACUUUGUGCAAUUUGGAGUAAAACAAUUUUUAUUAUGACAGUGUUACACAAUUCUUUGAACUACUUAGCUAUAUGCUAAAAUUGCAUACCAAUCUGUAUCAAAAAUUA